UACGUAGGGUGCAAGCGUUAUCCGGAAUUAUUGGGCGUAAAGAGCUCGUAGGCGGUUUGUCGCGUCUGCUGUGAAAACUGGAGGCUCAACCUCCAGCCUGCAGUGGGUACGGGCAGACUAGAGUGCGGUAGGGAGAUUGGAAUUCCUGGUGUAGCGGUGGAAUGCGCAGAUAUCAGGAGGAACACCGAUGGCGAAGGCAGAUCUCUGGGCCGUAACUGACGCUGAGGAGCGAAAGCAUGGGGAGCGAACAGG
rnacentral:rRNA from 1 species